rnacentral:rRNA from 1 species
GUGACCUCAAAUCAGGUAGGACUACCCGCUGAACUUAAGCAUAUCAAUAAGCGGAGGAAAAGAAACUAACAAGGAUUCCCCUAGUAACUGCGAGUGAAGCGGGAAAAGCUCAAAUUUAAAAUCUGGCAGUCUUUGGCUGUCCGAGUUGUAAUCUAGAGAAGUGUUAUCUGCGCUGGACCGUGUACAAGUCUCCUGGAAUGGAGCGUCAUAGAGGGUGAGAAUCCCGUCUUUGACACGGACUACCAGGGCUUUGUGAUGCGCUCUCAAAGAGUCGAGUUGUUUGGGAAUGCAGCUCAAAAUGGGUGGUAAAUUCCAUCUAAAGCUAAAUAUUGGCGAGAGACCGAUAGCGAACAAGUACCGUGAGGGAAAGAUGAAAAGAACUUUGGAAAGAGAGUUAAACAGUACGUGAAAUUGCUGAAAGGGAAACGCUUGAAGUCAGUCACGUUGUCCAGGGAUCAACCUUGCUUUUGCUUGGUGUACUUUCUGGUUGACGGGUCAGCAUCAAUUUUGACUGUUGGAAAAAGGUCAAGGGAAUGUGGCAUCCUCGGAUGUGUUAUAGCCCUUGGUUGUAUACAAUGGUUGGGAUUGAGGAACUCAGCACGCCGCAAGGCCGGGUUUUUAACCACGUACGUGCUUAGGAUGCUGGCAUAAUGGCUUUAAUCGACCCGUCUUGAAACACGGACCAAGGAGUCUAACAUGCCUGCGAGUGUUUGGGUGGAAAACCCGAGCGCGUAAUGAAAGUGAAAGUUGAGAUCCCUGUCGUGGGGAGCAUCGACGCCCGGACCAGACCUUUUGUGACGGUUCCGCGGUAGAGCAUGUAUGUUGGGACCCGAAAGAUGGUGAACUAUGCCUGAAUAGGGUGAAGCCAGAGGAAACUCUGGUGGAGGCUCGUAGCGAUUCUGACGUGCAAAUCGAUCGUCAAAUUUGGGUAUAGGGGCGAAAGACUAAUCGAACCAUCUAGUAGCUGGUUCCUGCCGA